AAUAUAUAGUGAUGAGUACCAUGGGUUCCUGCUUAACUUUACCAUUUACAAAUAUAGUAAACACCACCAUGUAUUGCUUCACGCUCACCAGAAAUCAAUCAAAAUUACCAUUUGUCUCUCUUCAGAGUGUAUGGUUAGGUGAACAACUUGAAUUAACAAAACAACUAUUCGUUAUUUACCAUACGUAGUGCAAACAUAGUAGUUUUGACUCAAACAAUAUUUACUGAAACUUCCUGCAGCUUCAAUAUGACGAUUCAUCAUUGUCGUUGUAAAUAUUGAGAUGUUAUUUGCGUUUGCUGUUGUAGGUGAAACAUAUCAGUAGCCAUUUUGUUAAGCUUCAUUGAAAAAACUGGUUAGGAUAAUGGUGAAUUUGUGCAUUUAUUCGUAAAUAUGUAGGUAAAAAAUAUUACUGAUGUCGAUGAGUGAAAUGUCUCCGAUUCCAAUGUUGCAAUCGGGAAGUGAAAAACGCAUUAUUCUUCAACUAUUAUUACCAAGAACACUAGAGGCUAAAUAUUGAACGAAGGCGUGGAUGCAGUCGAUUUCGCCAACGCGCAAUGCCAAUGAAAAAUAUUAUGCUGGUGAACAUGGACAGUUUUUCCUCCUCAUCGAUCGCUAGCGGAAAUCCCCACCUGAAUGCUGACGAACAAAGUGUCCUGACCAUAAUCAGCACCUCCAGACGAGGAAGGCAUCCCAACUCAGUAGGCUGCCUAAGAGCUGACCAGUUCCACACUCGAGCGGGCCUUCUGCGAUAUCCGACCAUGCAAAACCUACUGCCAGUCAGUGAGAAAUCUGAGCUUCCCUAUCGGCCGUCAAUCCGUAUUAGCAAAAUGAAUAUUAGGUAUACAUAUAAA